UGCCACAGCCUUAUUACUCUGUAGUCCAAGACCGGUUACUCACUGAAGCUAAGCAGGGCUGAGCCUGGUCAGUACCUGGAUGGGAGACCACAUGAGAAAGCUAAGUUGCUGUUGGAA
ensembl:rRNA 5S_rRNA 5S ribosomal RNA